rnacentral:rRNA from 1 species
UACGAAGGGGGCUAGCGUUGUUCGGAAUUACUGGGCGUAAAGCGCGCGCAGGCGGUUCUUCAAGUCAGUGGUGAAACGCCCGGAGCUCAACUCCGGAACUGCCAUUGAAACUGUAGAACUUGAGGAUGAGAGAGGUGAGUGGAAUUCCCAGUGUAGAGGUGAAAUUCGUAGAUAUUCGGAAGAACACCAGUGGCGAAGGCGGCUCACUGGACUGGUAUUGACGCUGAGGUGGCGAAAGCGUGGGGAGCAAACAGG